GGAGGUGAGGGCGAUCUGGCUGCAACAUCUGUCGUCCCACUGGUUGCCAGGGUUGAUCUGGCUGGCUUGGUGGGUGUCCCCUUCCUCCCUCACCGUCCCAUGAGCGUCUCAUGUGGUGUGCGCUCGGUGGAAGAUGAUGACAAUCCUAGAUAGAAAGAAUGUACCAAGUGUAUAUGAUAGCUGUACUCCUCUGCUACAACCUCCCAGCAAGCUCAAGGUCCCUUUCAACUGGCUGCUCUUCAACCAUGUAAGUUGAAAUCAUGUAAGGUAUGAGUUACCUGUGUAU